ACCCGUUGAUCCUGCGGGAGAUUACUGCUAUUGGGAUUCGACUUAGCCACGCAAGUCAUGGGGUCCUUCGGGACACCGGCGAAAUGCUCAGUAACACGUCGAUAAUCUGACCUUAGGUCAGGGAUAACCUUGGGAAACUGAGGCUAAAACCUGAUAGGGAAAUUUUUCUGGAAUGAUUUUUUCCUUAAAAGCAAUGCCUAAGGAUGAGUUGGCGGCUGAUUAGGUUGUUGGUGGGGUAAUGGCCCACCAAGCCGAAGAUCAGUAUGGGUCUUGAGAGAGAUAACCCAGAGAAGGGCACUGAGAUACUGGCCCUAGCCCUACGGGGUGCAGCAGGCGCGAAACCUUUACAAUGCACGAAAGUGUGAUAAGGGAAUCCCAAGUGCUUUGCUUAUUGCAAGGCUUUUCUUAAGAGUAAAUAUCUUAGGGAAUAAGUGGUGGGAAAGACCGGUGCCAGCAGCCGCGGUAAUACCGGCGCCACAAGUGGUGAUCAUGUUUAUUGGGCCUAAAGCGUUCGUAGCCGGUUUGAUAAAUCUUCUGUGAAAUUGUCAGGCUUAACCUGACAGCUUGCAGAAGACACUAUCGGACUAGGGACCGGGAGGAGUCAGAGGUAUUCUUGGGGGAGCGGUAAAAUGCUAUAAUCCUAAGAAGACUAACAGUGGCGAAGGCGUCUGACCAGAACGGAUCCGACGGUGAUUGGACGAAAGUCAGGGGAGCAAUCCGGAUUAGAUACCCGAGUAGUCCUGACUGUAAACUCUGCGAGCUAGGUGUUGCAUAUUCUUCGGGAAUAUGCAGUAUCGAAGCGAAGGCGUUAAGCUCGCCGCCUGGGAAGUACGGUCGCAAGGCUGAAACUUAAAGGAAUUGGCGGGGGAACACUACAAGAGGUGCGGCGUGCGGUUUAAUUGAACUCAACGCCCGGAAUCUUACCAGGGGCGACGGCAGAAUGAAAGUCAGGUUAAAGAUCUUACUUAACAAGCCGAGAGGAGGUGCAUGGCCGUCGUCAGCUCGUGCUGUGAAGUGUCCUGCUAAGUCAGGCAACGAGCGAGACCUGUACCUAUAAUUGCUAACAACUCUUUCAGAGGAUUGAGCACAUUAUAGGGACGGCUGCGGAAACGCAGAGGAAGGUGCAGGCUACGGUAGGUCUGUAUGCCCCGAAUCCCCUGGGAUACACGCGCGCAACAAUGGUAGGAACAAUGGGAUACGACUCCGAAAGGAGAAGUUAAUCCUCGAAAUCCUAUCCUAGUCCAGAUUGAGGGCUGUAACUCGCCCUCAUGACGUUGGAAUCUCUAGUAAUCGGAUGUCAACAUCGUCCGGUGAAUAUGUCCCUGUUCCUUGCACACACCGCCCGUCAAACCACUCGAGCAGGGUUUAGGUGAGACUCAAUAUUUUUGAUUGAGUCGAACCUAAGCUCAGUGAGAUGGGUUAAGUCGUCACAAGGUA
rnacentral:rRNA from 1 species